rnacentral:rRNA from 1 species
GACGAACGCUGGCGGCGUGCUUAACACAUGCAAGUCGAACGAUGAAGCCGGAGCUUGCUCUGGUGAAUUAGUGGCGAACGGGUGAGUAACACGUGAGUAACCUGCCCUUGACUCUGGGAUAACUGCUAGAAAUGGUAGCUAAUACCGGAUACGACCCUCGGAGGCAUCUCCAGGGGGUGGAAAGAAUUUCGGUCAAGGAUGGACUCGCGGCCUAUCAGCUAGUUGGUGAGGUAAUGGCUCACCAAGGCGACGACGGGUAGCCGGCCUGAGAGGGUGACCGGCCAACCUGGGACUGAGACACGGCCCAGACUCCUACGGGAGGCAGCAGUGGGGAAUAUUGCACAAUGGGCGCAAGCCUGAUGCAGCAACGCCGCGUGAGGGAUGACGGCCUUCGGGUUGUAAACCUCUUUUAGUAGGGAAGAAGCGAAAGUGACGGUACCUGCAGAAAAAGCACCGGCUAACUACGUGCCAGCCGCCGCGGUAA